GCUUGUCUCAAAGAUUAAGCCAUGCAUGUCUAAGUAUAAACAAAUUUAUAGUGAAACUGCGAAUGGCUCAUUAUAUCAGUUAUAGUUUAUUUGGCGAUAAAAACUACUUGGAUAACCGUAGUAAUUCUAGAGCUAAUACAUGCAUCAUCCCCCAUCUCGGGGUGUAUUUAUUAGAUAAAAAUCAACUUUGUUGGUGAAUCAUAAUAACUUCUCGGACCGCAUGGCCUCGUGCUGGCGGUGCUUCAUUCAAAUAUCUGCCCUAUCAACUGUCGAUGGUAGGAUAGAGGCCUACCAUGGUUGCAACGGGUAACGGGGAAUAAGGGUUCGAUUCCGGAGAGGGAGCCUGAGAAACGGCUACCACAUCCAAGGAAGGCAGCAGG
rnacentral:rRNA from 1 species